rnacentral:lncRNA from 1 species
GAACCAUGCUAAUUUAUUAUUCCACCAACAUAACCUCCUUCUUUUGCUCUACCAGCUCCAGUUCAUGGACUUUCUCUGGAGUCAGUCACAGAGGAUGUGUCCAUUUGAGAUGUGGCAGGGACUUGCAGGUGGCAAAGCACCACAACGAAGCAGGCCACCGUGGAGGAAGAGCAGGCUAAGUUCUUCCAGGAUUGACAUGCAAGCAACUCUACA